rnacentral:tRNA from 1 species
GCGAGAGUGGCGGAAUUGGCAGACGCGCUGGACUUAGGAUCCAGUGGGUGACCGUGUGGGUUCAAGUCCCUCCUCUCGCA